rnacentral:tRNA from 1 species
AGUUUAAGAACUUGAUAAAAGUAUUUAUUUUGAAAAUAAAAAAUAGAAAUUUCAAUUUUCUGUAAACUU